rnacentral:rRNA from 1 species
CACGUAGGGGACGAGCGUUGUCCGGAUUCAUUGGGCGUAAAGAGCGCGCAGGCGGCUUGGUAAGUCGGAUGUGAAAUCCCGAGGCUCAACCUCGGGUCUGCAUCCGAUACUGCCCGGCUAGAGGUAGGUAGGGGAGAUCGGAAUUCCUGGUGUAGCGGUGAAAUGCGCAGAUAUCAGGAGGAACACCGGUGGCGAAGGCGGAUCUCUGGGCCUUACCUGACGCUCAGGCGCGAAAGCUAGGGGAGCGAGCUGG